UACGUAGGGUCCGAGCGUUGUCCGGAAUUACUGGGCGUAAAGAGCUCGUAGGUGGUUUGUCGCGUUGUUCGUGAAAACUCACAGCUUAACUGUGGGCGUGCGGGCGAUACGGGCAGACUGGAGUACUGCAGGGGAGACUGGAAUUCCUGGUGUAGCGGUGGAAUGCGCAGAUAUCAGGAGGAACACCGGUGGCGAAGGCGGGUCUCUGGGCCGAUACUGACACUGAGGAGCGAAAGCGUGGGGAGCGAACAGG
rnacentral:rRNA from 1 species